GUGGCACGCCUGCACGCCGCCAGGCUGGAGUUCCCCGAGUACCAUCAUGUCGGGUUGCCCGCUGAGCUGCUGCAGGAGGUGCCGGUUCUGCGCGUGCGCGAAGGCCAUCGCCUUCUCGCCAGGGGCCAGCAAUGCUGCCUCUGUCUCACGCCAUACCUGGUGCGGCAGUGCGUGCGAGCGCUGCCGUGCGGCCACCAGUUCCACUCGCAGUGCCUGGCGCGUUGGCUGCUCGACACGUCCGCCACCUGCCCCAUAGACGGCACGCCCGUCAGGCACGACCUGCUGCGGAAGGCGCUCCAGAGACGGUAUUCGGUGCGGCUGGACUCAGACAGCUGGGGCCCUGGCCAGCAGCAGCAGCAGCAGGGCGGCAGCCCGCGCAGCCCCCAGCGGCCUGCGCCGGAGGACGCGCCGGGUCCCGGGCCCCCUCUCGAGGUGAU